UACGGGAGGCAGCAGUGGGGAAUUUUGCGACAAUGGACGAAAGCCUGAUCGCAGCAACGCCGCGUGAGUGAAGAAGGCCUUCGGACUGUAAAACCCUGUCGGCAGGGAAGAAAGUCGCACAGUGCCAAUACCGCUGUGUGGACUUGACGGUACCUGGAAUAAGAAGCACCGGCUAACUACUGUGCCAGCAGCCGCGGUAAUACAGUAGGGGGCAAGCGUUAAUCGGAAUUACUGGGCGUAAAGCGCGCGUAGGCGGUUUCUUAAGUCAGAUGUGAAAGCCCCGGGCUCAACCCAGGAACUGCAUCUGGAGACUGGGAGAGCUAGAAUACGGGAGAGGGUAGUGGAAUUCCUAGUGUAGCGAGUGAAAUCCGUAGAGAUGAGGAGGAACACCAGUGGCGAAGGCGGCCACCUGGACAGAUAACUGACGCUGAGACGCGAAAGCGUGGGGAGCAAACAGGAUUAGAUACCCUGGUAGUCCACGCCGUAAACGAUGAGACACUAGGUGUGGCGGGUAGUUGACCCCUGCAGUGCCGCAGCUAACGCAUUAAGUUCUCCGCCUGGGAAGUACGGUCGCAAGACUAAAACUCAAAGGAAUUGACGGA
rnacentral:rRNA from 1 species